CUUUUGGGUUCUGUUUGCUCAGCAUUGUUUUUCUGUGUUGAGAUAACCAUGGGUGGGGUCCACCCUCCAGAUCACAGGCCUUGCCACACCCUGGGCCACAAGCCUUGGAUGGCGCCAUUUGAGGGAGGCUCGGCCCCCAGGAUGAUGGAGCCUCCAGAUCAUGACCCAGUCUCAGGGAGUUAGUGCCUGCCUAGAACUCAGAGCAGAGGUCUGAUGUAGAAGGGAUUCAUAAAUAUUAUUAGUUACUUGGUCUUCAGUCUCCUGGCCUUGAAGGCAUUUGGUGAGCUCUGGAUUAGUUAGAUCAUUUUAAAAGGAUCCUGAUGUUCCAUGGUCAGCAGGGAGGGUUCCUGAGGGCUGCGAAUCAGCUCUGCAGGGCAGACACCAGCUCUUCACAAGGCGGCAGGCCAGCCCUGAGUGUCUUUUGGUGGCUACCUUCCUCCUCCUAGAGCCCUUCAGACUCCUGGCCCUCAGUGUGUCUAAGCUCUUCCAUCCCUCCACCCCACCAGGAAAAGAUUCAUCCCAAAGCAUCAGCUUCCCUGUCCUGAUUCUGUCUUUCUGGGCAAUGAUGCCCUUCAGGUGAGCACGGUGACUUUCUUUGUCCAGAAC
rnacentral:lncRNA from 1 species